GCGCCUCGUGAAUUCAUCUCCGGGGGUAGAGCACUGUUUCGGCUAGGGGGCCAUCCCGGCUUACCAACCCGAUGCAAACUGCGAAUACCGGAGAAUGUUAUCACGGGAGACACACGGCGGGUGCUAACGUCCGUCGUGAAGAGGGAAACAACCCAGACCGCCAGCUAAGGUCCCAAAGUCAUGGUUAAGUGGGAAACGAUGUGGGAAGGCCCAGACAGCCAGGAUGUUGGCUUAGAAGCAGCCAUCAUUUAAAGAAAGCGUAAUAGCUCACUGGUCGAGUCGGCCUGCGCGGAAGAUGUAACGGGGCUAAACCAUGCACCGAAGCUGCGGCAGCGACACUGUGUGUUGUUGGGUA
rnacentral:rRNA from 1 species